rnacentral:pre_miRNA from 1 species
UAUAAGGGAUUUUGAGUUUUUUCUUGCAACGUUUGACCACUCGUCUUAUUUAAUUUUUUUUGAAAUUAUUAUUUAUUUUAUUUGUGACUUACUUUAUUAUCCAUAGUAAUUUAAGCACAACUUUUUGUUUUUUUAUAUUUAUAAAAAAAAUUUGAAUAAAACGAGUAGUCAAACGUUGCAAGCAAAAACUCAAAAUCCCUUAUA